rfam:Canis lupus familiaris chromosome 5, whole genome shotgun sequence.
GCCUGGGUGGCUCAGUGGUUGAGCAUCUGCCUUCAGCUCAGGUCAUGAUCCCGGGGUCCUGGGAUUGAGUCCUGCCUCAGGUU